rnacentral:rRNA from 1 species
AAUACGUUCCCGGACCUUGCACACACCGCCCGUCAAGCCAUGGAAGCCGGGUGUACCUAAAGUCGGUAACCGCAAGGAGCUGCCUAGGGUAAAAUCGGGUGACUGGGGCU